rnacentral:lncRNA from 1 species
GGGAAACAUGUGUACCAAGUUUCAAGUUGAUUGGACUUCAACUUCUUCAAAAACUACCUUGACCAAAAACUUUAACCUGAACUUCGCACUAUCAUUUUCUAUGUUCAGUGGACCACGAAAUUGGGGUCAAAACUAUAAUUUGGCAUUAAAAUUAGAAAGAUCAUAUCAUGGGGAACAUGUGUACUAAGUUUCAAGUUGAUUGGACUUCAACUUCUUCAAAAACUACCUUGACCAAAAACUUUAACCUGAAGCGAACGGACGGACGGACGCACAGACGGACGGACGCACAGACGGACGGACGCACAGACGGACGGACGCACGGACGAACGGAGGCACAGACCAGAAAACAUAAUGCCCCUCUACUAUCG